UGUAAAGUUUUCUAGGGUUCCGCAUGUCAAUUGACAUGGACUGGUCCGAGAGAAAACACAUACGCGUAAAUAGAAGCGCGUAUGCACACGGAGGGAAAAAAGCCCGGGAGAG
rnacentral:sRNA from 10 species